rnacentral:tRNA from 1 species
GGUUCCUUAGUCUAGCGGUUAGGACGUUAGCUUCUCACGCUGAAAACACGGGUUCAAAUCCCGUAGGAAUCACCA